rnacentral:rRNA from 1 species
UACGUAGGGGGCAAGCGUUGUCCGGAAUCAUUGGGCGUAAAGCGCGUGUAGGCGGCUCGGUAAGUCCGCUCUGAAAGUCCGGGGCUCAACCCCGGGAGGCGGGUGGAUACUGUCGAGCUAGAGUCCGGAAGAGGCGAGUGGAAUUCCUGGUGUAGCGGUGAAAUGCGCAGAUAUCAGGAGGAACACCAAUGGCGAAGGCAGCUCGCUGGGACGGUACUGACGCUGAGAGACGAAAGCUAGGGAGCGAAUGGG